CUUCUAGGUCCUCAGCUCUGCUUUGGCUUCUUAUCCUUUCUGAAAUCUGGCUUUUCAGUUUUGCCUUUGAUGCUAUAAGCAAUCCCAUAUACCCCUAGUAAACUCCUCCCUCAAGUUACCACAAGUAGUUUCUGUGGCUGUAGCCUGAAAAGCUACUGUAGUUCCAGUGUGAAAGGAGAAGAGUGGAGAGUUUGGUGUGGCUGGAGAGAAUGAUAUGUGUGUGAGUCGCUGGAGAUGAGGCAAUUUGGGACCAGGGUUUAAAGAGUGACAGGAAGAGAUCCCAAAGAACUUGGAAACAAACCUAUCUUCUGAGAGGACGUAAUGGAAUGAGAGAGGGAAGCAGGAAUCAGUUGGACCCAUCAGAGAGUUUGUUAUUGAAGAGUUCCUGAAUUUCUCCCAGAAUUCCCAAGGAAAAGGAAUCUCAGGGAAAUGGCCUGAAUUCUAUGUGGAAUGUGGGAACUUAAUCUGCUGUUUUGGGACAGCAGAAAAUUGUUGGUCAGCCUGGACUGUGGAAAAUAGAAGCUCAAUGAAGUGGUGUCAUGGGGUCGAACGAGGAGGUGGCUCUGAAACGUGCAUGUUGUUGACCUUUACAGUCCGAUGUGUUGCUGAUUGCACCCCCGCAGAACUUGAUGAAGCUUUGCAGUCAGACCCUGUUACCCUGCCUGAGUUGAAUUCCUGCAGCCUCUGUGAUUUCCUGUUGGAAGCUCAGUAAGUCUGAAUCUUCUCACCUCUGUGUUCUUCUGCUCCUUUCCUGGACCACAGGAAUGCUUAUUAUGUUUCUGAGCACAGCCAUGUAUUUUCAGUGUAUUAAAAAUAUUUAUUAAUGCUAUGUGGAUUUUUGGUGGGGAGGGGAGGCACAGUUGAUAACUUACAGAAUAAUGUUGGCCAGAAAUUGAACAUAAUCAUUUUGGAGUUUUUGUAGGCCUUUGUCUAUAUAUAUUCAUGCAUACAUACAUACACAUAUUUUUUUGUGUGUGUAUAUAUAUCUUAAGAUAAAUGGAAUCAUGUUGUUAUACAAUUGUUACAAUAUUAUUAUACCUACUGUAAUCAUUCUAUGUAUCUUCCUUUCUUUACAUAUUAUUUCUUACAUAUUAUUCCUUAAUACUUACAUCACAAUUUGUUUAGCCAUUGCUUUAUUAGUGGACAUUUAGAUUGUUUCUAAUGGUUCACAACUAGAAGCUAUGCUGUAAUGAACAUACAUUUAUAUACAUAUAUAUAUUUUUCUGAACAUGUGUACACAUUUCUGUAGUGUAGAUUCUCCAUAGUGGAACUUAUGAAAGAAAGCUCAUGACUAAUUUUGUGAGACUCUACUAAAUUAUCCUUCAAGAGGGCUGUACUCUUGAAGUGUGCUUUGUUUCCCCAAACCCUAGACCAGUCAGAUCUAGGCUUUAUCACAAGGUAACAUUCAUGUGAAAUGACAAUAUUUGUUCCACAUCACAGAGUAGUCAGAAGAUGCUUCUGUACUGGGAAGCAGGUGGCUGGGAGCUCUGUGGGCCUCAGGCAUCUCCUCAUCACCCCAAAAGUGAAGAGAGAAAUAUUUCAGCACCUCUCACCCAUUCCCAGCAUAGUCAUGGGUGAACUCUGACUCGGACAUCAGCAUAAUAUCAACCUUGAACCUUUGUCCAUCUGAUGAAUGAGAAUAUGCCAUUAUUAUUUGAACAUGCAUUCCUCUCAUUUCCAGUGAGAUUGGUGGUCUUUUUAUGUCUUUUUUU
rnacentral:lncRNA from 12 species